GGUUAAGCGACUAAGCGUACACGGUGGAUGCCCUGGCAGUCAGAGGCGAUGAAGGACGUGCUAAUCUGCGAUAAGCGUCGGUGAGGUGAUAUGAACCGUUAUAACCGGCGAUUUCCGAAUGGGGAAACCCAGUGUGUUUCGACACACUAUCAUUAACUGAAUCCAUAGGUUAAUGAGGCGAACCGGGGGAACUGAAACAUCUAAGUACCCCGAGGAAAAGAAAUCAACCGAGAUUCCCCCAGUAGCGGCGAGCGAACGGGGAGGAGCCCAGAGCCUGAAUCAGUGUGUGUGUUAGUGGAAGCGUCUGGAAAGGCGCGCGAUACAGGGUGACAGCCCCGUACACAAAAAUGCACAUAUUGUGAGCUCGAUGAGUAGGGCGGGACACGUGGUAUCCUGUCUGAAUAUGGGGGGACCAUCCUCCAAGGCUAAAUACUCCUGACUGACCGAUAGUGAACCAGUACCGUGAGGGAAAGGCGAAAAGAACCCCGGCGAGGGGAGUGAAAAAGAACCUGAAACCGUGUACGUACAAGCAGUGGGAGCCUCUUAAUGGGGUGACUGCGUACCUUUUGUAUAAUGGGUCAGCGACUUAUAUUCUGUAGCAAGGUUAACCGAAUAGGGGAGCCGAAGGGAAACCGAGUCUUAACUGGGCGUUAAGUUGCAGGGUAUAGACCCGAAACCCGGUGAUCUAGCCAUGGGCAGGUUGAAGGUUGGGUAACACUAACUGGAGGACCGAACCGACUAAUGUUGAAAAAUUAGCGGAUGACUUGUGGCUGGGGGUGAAAGGCCAAUCAAACCGGGAGAUAGCUGGUUCUCCCCGAAAGCUAUUUAGGUAGCGCCUCGUGAAUUCAUCUCCGGGGGUAGAGCACUGUUUCGGCAAGGGGGUCAUCCCGACUUACCAACCCGAUGCAAACUGCGAAUACCGGAGAAUGUUAUCACGGGAGACACACGGCGGGUGCUAACGUCCGUCGUGAAGAGGGAAACAACCCAGACCGCCAGCUAAGGUCCCAAAGUCAUGGUUAAGUGGGAAACGAUGUGGGAAGGCCCAGACAGCCAGGAUGUUGGCUUAGAAGCAGCCAUCAUUUAAAGAAAGCGUAAUAGCUCACUGGUCGAGUCGGCCUGCGCGGAAGAUGUAACGGGGCUAAACCAUGCACCGAAGCUGCGGCAGCGACGCUUAUGCGUUGUUGGGUAGGGGAGCGUUCUGUAAGCCUGUGAAGGUGUGCUGUGAGGCAUGCUGGAGGUAUCAGAAGUGCGAAUGCUGACAUAAGUAACGAUAAAGCGGGUGAAAAGCCCGCUCGCCGGAAGACCAAGGGUUCCUGUCCAACGUUAAUCGGGGCAGGGUGAGUCGACCCCUAAGGCGAGGCCGAAAGGCGUAGUCGAUGGGAAACAGGUUAAUAUUCCUGUACUUGGUGUUACUGCGAAGGGGGGACGGAGAAGGCUAUGUUGGCCGGGCGACGGUUGUCCCGGUUUAAGCGUGUAGGCUGGUUUUCCAGGCAAAUCCGGAAAACCAAGGCUGAGGCGUGAUGACGAGGCACUACGGUGCUGAAGCAACAAAUGCCCUGCUUCCAGGAAAAGCCUCUAAGCAUCAGGUAACAUCAAAUCGUACCCCAAACCGACACAGGUGGUCAGGUAGAGAAUACCAAGGCGCUUGAGAGAACUCGGGUGAAGGAACUAGGCAAAAUGGUGCCGUAACUUCGGGAGAAGGCACGCUGAUAUGUAGGUGAAGCGACUAGCUCGUGGAGCUGAAAUCAGUCGAAGAUACCAGCUGGCUGCAACUGUUUAUUAAAAACACAGCACUGUGCAAACACGAAAGUGGACGUAUACGGUGUGACGCCUGCCCGGUGCCGGAAGGUUAAUUGAUGGGGUUAGCGGCAACGCGAAGCUCUUGAUCGAAGCCCCGGUAAACGGCGGCCGUAACUAUAACGGUCCUAAGGUAGCGAAAUUCCUUGUCGGGUAAGUUCCGACCUGCACGAAUGGCGUAAUGAUGGCCAGGCUGUCUCCACCCGAGACUCAGUGAAAUUGAACUCGCUGUGAAGAUGCAGUGUACCCGCGGCAAGACGGAAAGACCCCGUGAACCUUUACUAUAGCUUGACACUGAACAUUGAGCCUUGAUGUGUAGGAUAGGUGGGAGGCUUUGAAGUGUGGACGCCAGUCUGCAUGGAGCCGACCUUGAAAUACCACCCUUUAAUGUUUGAUGUUCUAACGUUGGCCCGUAAUC
rnacentral:rRNA from 1 species